GGAUGAACGCUAGCGACAGGCUUAACACAUGCAAGUCGAGGGGCAGCACAGGUAGCAAUACCGGGUGGCGACCGGCGCCCGGGUGAGUAACGCGUAUGCAACUUACCUAUCAGAGGGGGAUAACCCGGCGAAAGUCGGACUAAUACCGCAUGAAGCAGGGGUCCCGCAUGGGGAUAUUUGCUAAAGAUUCAUCGCUGAUAGAUAGGCAUGCGUUCCAUUAGGCAGUUGGCGGGGUAACGGCCCACCAAACCGACGAUGGAUAGGGGUUCUGAGAGGAAGGUCCCCCACAUUGGUACUGAGACACGGACCAAACUCCUACGGGAGGCAGCAGUGAGGAAUAUUGGUCAAUGGCCGAGAGGCUGAACCAGCCAAGUCGCGUGAGGGAUGAAGGUUCUAUGGAUCGUAAACCUCUUUUAUAAGGGAAUAAAGUGCGGGACGUGUCCCGUUUUGUAUGUACCUUAUGAAUAAGGAUCGGCUAACUCCGUG
rnacentral:rRNA from 1 species